rnacentral:misc_RNA from 1 species
UUAUCAUUUAGAGGAAGGAGAAGUCGUAACAAGGUUUCUGUAGGUGAACCUGUGAAAGGAUCAUUGUCAAGGCCCGUCGAGCAGCGAGACUCGCGAACCGGUGACCCUAACGAGACGCGCGUGGCUCAGGGAGCGCGGUGCCGCCUGCUCUCUCGAGGGACCACGCGGUGAACCACCCCAGGCCCGAUUGGCGCCAAGGAAUUGAGAUGGAAUGAACCCGGCUCCCUUUGAGGAUGCCGGCAUGCGUUCAAAAAUUACACAACUCUCAGCAACGGAUAUCUUUGCUCUCGUAUCAAUAAAGAACGUAACGAAAUGCAAUACUUGGUGUGAAUUACAGAAUCCCGUGAACCAUCGAGUCUUUGAACGCAAGUGGUGCCUGAGGCCACUCUGCUAAGGGUACGCCUGCCUGGGCAUCAUGCAUCGUGCUGCCCCACCAGGCGUUCAGCUCAUCCGGCGGUGGCGUCGCGUGGCGGAGACUAGCCACCCGUGUGCCCUGUGCGCAUGGCCGGCUGAAAAGCAUUCACUCCCUCGCCGUGACACGGACGCGGCGGUAGGUGGUUUGAGAGGCGACUACCUCGUUGGAGCUCGGACACCGUGCUAGUCGCCCCAUGCUAGGGGAAAGCAAAGUGAAGUGGCACCCAACUCGGCCGCCCUGCGCGGCCCUCGCGCAGCGACCUCAAGUUAGGCGGGGACACCUACCGAGUUUAAGCAUAUCAAU